ensembl:lncRNA
GUUGCUGGAGCUGUGAGUUUCAUUCGGAACACUUGGUUUUUGUCAUUCCGACUGUGCACAUUUUUGAGAGUUCUGCUGUUUUUACAAGUCCUCCAUGAACUGUGUUAUCGAGUGAGAGACAUUGAUUUUGUCACUUGAGUGCACUUGUUGAAAUGAGUCACUUAAGUGCACUUGUUAGAGCGCAAGAAUGCAUGUAGUUUUCUACGGAUAUUUUUUCUUUACUUUUUGAGUAUUUUUGCAUUCUUUUUGAGCAUUUUGGAAGAGACUGAAAUCGUUAUGAUCAAGUUUUACUUUUGAAAAUCCCUUUUUGAGAAACACUGCAAGCAAGACACUGUUUAGGUCAUCCAUCAAGUCAUUCCUCAAGUCAUCUCUCAGGUCAUCGCAUCCAAGUCAUCAUUGCUACAGAUUGACCAAGACAGCCACAACAAAGGUUGGGGGCAAAAAAGUGGAAAGGAACACACAGUCAGAUCUCAUGUGUGUACUCUUCUCAGAAGGUUAAUGGACUUUGAGUGGUUAUGCAAGUUUACAAAUGUAUCAAAACUUUGAU